rnacentral:rRNA from 1 species
GAUGAACGCUAGCGGCAGGCUUAACACAUGCAAGUCGAGGGGUAGAGGAAGCUUGCUUCCUUGAGACCGGCGCACGGGUGCGUAACGCGUAUGCAAUCUACCUUAUACAGGGGGAUAGCCCAGAGAAAUUUGGAUUAAUACCCCAUAGUAUAAUUGAAUGGCAUCAUUUAAUUAUUAAAGUUCCAACGGUAUAAGAUGAGCAUGCGUCCAUUAGCUAGUUGGUGUGGUAACGGCACACCAAGGCGACGAUGGGUAGGGGUCCUGAGAGGGAGAUCCCCCACACUGGUACUGAGACACGGACCAGACUCCUACGGGAGGCAGCAGUGAGGAAUAUUGGUCAAUGGGCGCAAGCCUGAACCAGCCAUGCCGCGUGCAGGAUGACGGUCCGUACUGGAGUUUUUUUGAAACUUAGUC